rnacentral:sRNA from 1 species
AAAAAACCAACCUGGCUAUUCCUAGGAAUGAUAAAAUAUCUUCCUUUGUAGAAGGAACAGUUAGAGAAUGGAUCAGAAUCUUUCUAUCUAGGGUAAUAGCUUUUUAGGUUGGGGUAAUUGUUCGUCCCAAAUAGAUGACCAAAGGACUGGACUUUAGAAGGUGAGACCCUGUAACCUUUACUGAAAAUGAAAUUCAGAAGAGCAGAGGUGUCAGUUUGGCAAAUUUUUUGAGAGGGGUUACACAGAAGAAUGCAAUCUAUAUAGUGGACAGUCCUAGAUUUAGGGAGAGAAAGAGAGAAGGUAAUUCAGAAACCAGGGCCUGGCCAAAUUGGUGUGGGCUGUGCUGGAAUCUCUGAGGUAGAACAGUCCAGGUAAGUUGUGUAGAAAAGUGGGUGUCAGGAUCUGUUCAGGAAAAGGCAAAUAUGUUCUGUGACUGGGUAUCUAGAGGGAUAGAGAAAGUAGCAUCCGGAGAUCUAAGAUUGAGAAAUGAGAAUUCCCCAAGGGGAUAGUGGGAAGAAGUGUAUAAGGAUUAGCCACAACAGGAUGUACAGGAACUAUGGCAGAAUUAAUGGACCUGAGGUUUUGAACCAGGAGAUAGGUUCCACUAAGUUUCCUAACUGCUAAUGUAGGGGUUUUAAAGGGGGAAGAGGUAGGGCAAAGGAGGUUUUUCCUUAAGAGAUCAGAGGUGAUAUACUUAAGGCCCCUGAGGCUCUGGAGUGAAAGCAGGUAUUGAGGUUGGGUGAUGUACCUGGUAGAAUUCAGUAAUUGCUUGACAACAGGAGAAUGUUUAGCAGCAGAGGGGUUCUGGACAUCCCUGACAAGGAGGUCUACUUGAGAAGCUGGCCAGAAGUCAACUUGCAUUAGAAAAUGUGCUAUUACCAAGAAGCAUGUCACCAAGACAACCGAAUAGAACUGUCCAGAGUAUGUCCUUCUGCAGAAAUAUCAAUUGAGACAACUAUCCAGGCAUGAAAUACCUUCAUAAGAACUAAACAAAACAGGGAAAGCUCCUUAAACCAGAAGAGAGUUGUGGCAAAAAAAGACACACUCAACCAAGAGUUGCGAUGAAAGCAAUGUGUCACAUGAAUUGCCAAUACUUACACUAGUUAAAAGAAGAAAGAAACAAAAGAAAAUAGAGCAUCAUUAUAUAAAAGAGUCAACUUAUCAAGCAGAACCAUCCCUUUAUUCUUCUUCUUUCCCCUACAAUGAAGUGAUUCUUUACAACAUCCUGUGCUCCUUUUAAAGCCCAUUGGUUCCUUGUGGUGCUGUCAGAAUGUACAUGAGGAACGUCUACUGAAGAAAGGAAAGCCUCUCAGAAGCCAAAUACCUGAAGAAAACUCACUCUGCCUCUCAUAAGAAUCCAUCAGUGGCCAAUAUCACCUCAGUGUUUCCACAGGACGUAUCCCAGAUGAUUGAGUCGGGGGAAAGUCUACAAAAGUUUGGAUGUUGAUUAUUUCCUAAUAUCCCAGAAAUGAGAGGAAAGCCUAAACAUGAUCUAGGAUUAAGGAUACCAGCUUUUGCAGAAGAACUAAAACAACUACCCAUGUCUAAACAAGCAACUACUAGACUCUUGGGCUUCCCAUUCACAACUGCCCAUUGUUGGGUUAGCUGGACUACUGACUAGUCACCAGCCAACAAACAGGCAUUAAAUUCACCAUCCUAAGGAAAUUAUUCAUACUCAAAACAUAACAGCCAAAAGUCAUGCACUUGAAGACUUCUGUCUCUACUCCUCUAUUCUACGGAUAAAGUGAAACCAUAACUUUCAGGAAAAGAAAACAUGAGAAUGUAGAUUACAAAAGUCGGAACUGACAAAAUACAUAAAGACCAUGGGAUGGAAUUUACAUUUUGAGGAUGGCAGAGUAAUGAAUCAGAAAGAGCCUUUGACACCAACGACUCACAGGAAGUCCCAACAUGUCUCCUUAAUAUCUUCAUAGUGGUCAUAUCAUUUGAAUAUGAAGAAGAAAAAGAGCAGGUGGAGGUAUUCAACCAUGCCGUCAAUCAACUAUGCAAUGCAACUAUGCAAUGACCAAUUAAAAGAAUAAGAAAUCUAAAUGAAUAGAUCUUUUAUUAUUAAUUUCAUUUAAUACUGGUUAAGCAAGAGAGACAGUUGAAUUAGGGUUUUUAAA